ACUACGGGAGGCAGCAGUGAGGAAUAUUGGUCAAUGGGCGGAAGCCUGAACCAGCCAAGUAGCGUGCAGGAUGACGGCCCUACGGGUUGUAAACUGCUUUUAUACGGGAAUAACGCGCCUUACGUGUAGGGCUUUGCAUGUACCGUAUGAAUAAGGACCGGCUAAUUCCGUGCCAGCAGCCGCGGUAAUACGGAAGGUCCGGGCGUUAUCCGGAUUUAUUGGGUUUAAAGGGAGCGUAGGCCGCAUGUCAAGCGUGCUGUGAAAUGUCCGGGCGCAACCCGGGCCUUGCAGCGCGAACUGGCGUGCUUGAGUCCGCGGAAAGCAGGCGGAAUUCGUCGUGUAGCGGUGAAAUGCUUAGAUAUGACGAAGAACCCCGAUUGCGAAGGCAGCUUGCUGCAGCGGAACUGACGCUGAUGCUCGAAAGCGCGGGUAUCGAACAGGAUUAGAUACCCCUGUAGUC
rnacentral:rRNA from 1 species